rnacentral:rRNA from 1 species
UACGGAGGAUGCGAGCGUUAUCCGGAUUUAUUGGGUUUAAAGGGUGCGUAGGCGGACUGUCAAGUCAGCGGUAAAAUUGAGAGGCUCAACCACUUCCCGCCGUUGAAACUGGUGGUCUUGAGUGGAUGAGAAGUACGCGGAAUGCGUGGUGUAGCGGUGAAAUGCAUAGAUAUCACGCAGAACUCCGAUUGCGAAGGCAGCGUACCGGCAUCCAACUGACGCUGAGGCACGAAAGCGUGGGGAUCAAACAGG